GUUAAAGCCACAGCGUUCAGUCUUAUCUGCAGCUUUCUGCCACUGACGGCUCAUUUCAUCUUGUGUGUCUCAGCCAUGUGGACACAGCAGACAAACUUCUUCUUGUUGGCCACAGUCUCUUAUGUGUCAGCUGCUGCAGAUGGUCAGAUCAGAUUAGCUGGGUCUGGGUCGACUCGCUGCUCUGGAAGAGUUGAAAUCUAUCACCGUGGCUCCUGGGGAACAGUCUGUGAUGAUGCCUGGGACUUAAAAGAUGCUGCGGUGGUCUGCAGACAGUUAAACUGUGGAACAGCACUGAGUGCCACUACAGAUGCUCACUUUGGUGAAGGAACUGGGCCGAUCUGGCUGCGUCGUGUGGACUGUUCAGGACAUGAACGUUCUCUCAGUGAGUGUGACCUCAACAGAUCUCAGCCCUCCUGUGGACACAGUAAGGACGCUGGUGUCCUCUGUUCAGAGUCACUGCAGCGGCCCAGCAUCUCCCUGAGAUAUGAUGGAGGAUCGGUGCAGGGACCCAAAAGUGCAGAGAUCACAGGAGGCUCCAGCUUUGAGUUUACCUGCUCCAUUACAUCCAGCUAUACUCCAGGCCGUUUCAUGCUCAUCUUCUCUGGAUCCAACCAAAAGUACACAAAGCCUGCUGUCAGAAACUCAGCCAGGUUUAGUUUCCCUGCAGCUGAGUAUGAACACCGGGGCAGCUACAGCUGUGUGUAUGAGAUAAAUGUGUCAAUGAAGGAAUUCCAGUCAUCUGAGUCACCACCAAUUCAUGUCAUCAUCACAUGUAAGUAGAAACAUCAGUCAACAUGAAUACAU